UGGGGAAUCUUGGACAAUGGGGGCAACCCUGAUCCAGCGAUGCCGCGUGAAUGAAGAAGGCCUUAGGGUUGUAAAGUUCUUUCACCCGUGACGAUAAUGACGGUAACGGGAGAAGAAGCCCCAGCAAACUCCGUGCCAGCAGCCGCGGUAAGACGGAGGGGGCUAGCGUUGUUCGGAAUGACUGGGCGUAAAGGGCGUGUAGGCUGUCGAUCAAGUCAGGCGUGAAAGCCUUGGGCUUAACCUGAGAAUUGCGUUUGAUACUGGUUGACUUGAGGAUGGGAGAGGAAAGCGGAAUUCCGAGUGUAGAGGUGAAAUUCGUAGAUAUUCGGAGGAACAUCAGAGGCGAAGGCGGCUUUCUGGACCAUAUCUGACGCUGAGGCGCGAAAGCGUGGGGAGCAAA
rnacentral:rRNA from 1 species